GGUUAAGCGACUAAGCGUACACGGUGGAUGCCCUGGCAGUCAGAGGCGAUGAAGGACGUGCUAAUCUGCGAUAAGCGCCGGUAAGGUGAUAUGAACCGUUAUAACCGGCGAUUUCCGAAUGGGGAAACCCAGUGUGACUCGUCACACUAUCAUUAACUGAAUCCAUAGGUUAAUGAGGCGAACCGGGGGAACUGAAACAUCUAAGUACCCCGAGGAAAAGAAAUCAACCGAGAUUCCCCCAGUAGCGGCGAGCGAACGGGGAGGAGCCCAGAGCCUGAAUCAGCAUGUGUGUUAGUGGAAGCGUCUGGAAAGGCGCGCGAUACAGGGUGACAGCCCCGUACACAAAAGCGCAUGUGCUGUGAGCUCGAUGAGUAGGGCGGGACACGUGGUAUCCUGUCUGAAUAUGGGGGGACCAUCCUCCAAGGCUAAAUACUCCUGACUGACCGAUAGUGAACCAGUACCGUGAGGGAAAGGCGAAAAGAACCCCGGCGAGGGGAGUGAAAAAGAACCUGAAACCGUGUACGUACAAGCAGUGGGAGCACCCUUUGGGGUGUGACUGCGUACCUUUUGUAUAAUGGGUCAGCGACUUAUAUUCUGUAGCAAGGUUAACCGAAUAGGGGAGCCGGAGGGAAACCGAGUCUUAAUUGGGCGUUAAGUUGCAGGGUAUAGACCCGAAACCCGGUGAUCUAGCCAUGGGCAGGUUGAAGGUUGGGUAACACUAACUGGAGGACCGAACCGACUAAUGUUGAAAAAUUAGCGGAUGACCUGUGGCUGGGGGUGAAAGGCCAAUCAAACCGGGAGAUAGCU
rnacentral:rRNA from 1 species